UUCAUGUUUUAGUUGGAAAUUUAAUUAUCUGUGAAAAGAAACUGAAAGAUAUCCCCACAAACAAACAAACAAAAAAAAAACAAACAAAAAAACCAACAACCUAAAAAUAUAUAAGGGUGUGGUUAUAAUGAUUAGUGAAACCUGUGUUGGGUGCCUUAUGUGUUCCUCUUGCUGUGUGGGGUGGGGCCUGGGUACCCCCAUGGUGUACCAGGACAGUUGCUCAGGAACCCUGAAAAACCGGAUGCCAUUUUCUAAAGCUUUUUCUACAUCUGCUUGCAAGCAGAGUGGAGUGGCUGCAGACUACUUCAGAGAUACUUUGUUUUCAUCACUGAAAUGUCCAUAUCUGCUUGCUACAUAGUUCCCUCUGGGAGGAGGAUAGAGAAAAACAACUGGAUCAUUUCUGAGCCACUGAAGAAAGACAGCUAUGAAAACAGACCAAUGCAAAUAAGUCUGUAUCGGAUGAAAAGUUUCCAUGAAAGAAGUACUAAUGCUGAUUGGAGAAAUAAUGGUAUGAACUCAUGUAGACACUCCUCUCCACUUGCUGAAAACCCUAUCAAAAUCUGAAGCUAUCCAAGAGAAGGCAUUAUAGCCCUCAGGAAAAAGCAGCUCAUUUGAUGCUGGAUGCCUGACCCCUGCUACCAUAAUAGCUGUUAAUGGAAACUUCACCUCCUGCAAGGAUAAGAUGGAUUUUUGGCAGCUGUGAGAGAUUAUGAAGAGCAAGAACAAUCUUAGAUGGAAUCAGAAGAAAAGGAAGCAUAUGUACCUUGAGAAACACUCAGCUGGUUUUUAUUAUACACCAAGCCUAUAUUUAUUACGAUGACUAGCCAAGAGAUAGAAAUUGAUAGAUCUCUGCUCUCUGACCAAGGAGGCUAGUGUCAGCUUGAUAAAUCCUUUCUUUCUUCUAGUUUGUACAUGUACAAGUGACUAGAGCUAUUCAAAAU
rnacentral:lncRNA from 1 species